UCUCAAAAAUAAAUAAACAUUAAAAAAAAGUGUAUUUAAGAAAAAAGAAAAUUACUGGAGUAUGAUGAGAGUCCCUUCCCGGGAGACGUACCCUCAGCCCUACCAAUUCCGAUUUGCUCUUUGGUCUUGAAUAAGCCUUCCACGGGCAAGAUACGGAGCUGAUUCUGCCUGGCCUCCGGCAGUUUUUGCAGGAUCCUCCUGUCCUUGGAUGACCAUUCCGCUUUGCUGGAGGCGUCCUGCUCUAUGGUUAUGAGCCACUGGUACUGUUACUUUCCCUCCUUUUAUUAUUUCAUAAAAAAUAUAAGUGAUCCCCAAAUCCAGAGUCUGUUUCAUACUGUUUAUGUGCCUAUGUUCCGUUUCUAAGAGGCUCUUGAUGAAUUUGAAGCUUGAUCCUCCCAAUAUCCCAACAUAUUCAGUGUCUUUGGGACAAGAGAAUACUGAUUCUCCAGGGAUGUUUUAGAAAGUGUUUGUAUGUAGAAAACCAGCAUCUACACGCUGUAUAAGGUGUGAGGCUACUGGAGGGCUAUGUGAGCAGUCGAGUCCGGGCAUCUCAUUAAAGAGUAAGUUAUGCUUUCCUUCUCCUUGGGUGUGAAAGCUUUAUUAACACCAGGUUUGAAAACAGCUAGCAGCAACAACAAAAAAAGCUAAAUGCUUAUGGGGUUUAUUAUAAAACUCCAUAGUGCCAUUUAUUUCCAUGGAUGCUUUAAAUUGCAGGGGUAAAAUAAUGUAUUCAGCAAGGAAGCAACUUCUUGCUUCCUCCCGUGAGUCUGCUUGAUUGUGCUGUUGGUAUCUCAUUCUUUAAUUAAACUUGUCCAAAGAUAGGAUCAGCUAAAGUGUUUACCGUAUAAAUAGUUUUUGUUCCCUGUGUGCAAGUUUAAAACCCUGAUAAAAAGAGUUUGCCAUCUGUUAAAAACCAAAACAUGUGGUGUGCUGUGGCAUAAAAAUAAAGUGCACAUUAUUCAUAAAAAGAAUCACAACACAACACAUAUCAUUUGGGCUGACAGUAAUCUGUGCCAUUUUAGAAUGUUCCCCACCUUCUCUGUAAGUGACAGUGUGAUUGGUAGUGCGUUGGGUUAAAAAGAAAAUGAAAAGCUAUCAAAAGUUAACAUGUAACGUAUAUUAUUAUUCAUGAAAGUGGAUUUAUCUGAAUGUGAGUUUUAUUGAUAAGACAUGGUAAUUUUUUUCUUUGAUCGCUUCAAAUGCAAUUCUUUCUCAGAAUUGUAUGUUCAAGUCUUUUUUUUUUUUCUAACUUAAAAUUUAACCAUUUAAUUUAGUCGGGAACUUAACUCUCUCCCUGCAUUGGCAACCCCUCAGCUCUGUGAAAUCUUCUCCUCCUGAAAUCAUUCCUGUUUCUGCUCUUUGCCUUUCUACUUACCCAUACUCCUGACGAGAGGAACUUCCUAAAACACAGGUUAUUUGCUGUCACUCUUUAAAACCAUCAGUAAUGCCACAUUGCCUCUGGAACAAAGUCUAAAUCCCUCAGAAUGUCGUGCAAGAAAUUGCAUAGUCUGGCGCCCAGCUCCUUACGCAGUCUUCAUCUAAACUAUUCCUAAUCCACGACCCAGUGCAAUUCUGCCUGAAUUUUCAGUCCUGAGCUUGCCUCUUCCACAUUCCCAUCUUUACAGUUUUCUCUUUCUUUGGAAGGUUUUUGCCUGCCUCUGCCUCAUCCCAAAUUAGAUCUGUGCUUUAAAACUCAGCUCAGACCCCAGUUCACAUAGAUAAAAUUCACCUAAAGCCUACAGUUUGAUAAGUCUCGACAUAUAUGCAGCCAUGAAACCCUCAAGAUCACAUCCAGUGGUACCAGAAGUUUCCUCUUGCCCUUCUGUGAUCCCUCCUGUAUGCUCGCCUUAUUCCCCUUCCCUCCCCAUCCGCCAAGGUCCCUUCAUCUCCGUACUGUUUACAUUUCCUAGAAGUUUAUAUAAAUGGAAUCAUACAGUAUGUGCCCUUUUUCUGUGUCUGGCUUCUUUCAUUCAACAAUUAUUUUGACAUUCAUCCAUGGUAGAGUGUGUAGUAACAGUAUCCAUUUUAUUGAUGUAAUAAUUUUCUUAUCUGUUCACCUGUUGAUGGACCUUUGGCUUGUUCCCAGUUUGGGGCUGUUUAUUACAAAUAAAUUUGCUGUGAACAUUCACGUACAA